AGCAGCUCGGGCGGCGGGAGGAGUGGCAGCGGCAAGGCAGCCCAGUUUCGCGAAGGCUCUCGGCGCGCCGCGGCCCGCAGGCAACCGGCACGCACCUUCCCCGCCGCCAGGAUGCCCAAGAGGAAGGUCAGCUCCGCCGAAGGCGCCGCCAAGGAAGAGGUGAGUGCGGGGCCUUCUGCGGGGGGUGGUGGGUUUCCCGUGAGCCGCUGACCUGCCUUCUCUUUUCGCUGACUCUCCUUUUUCUUUCUCCAAGCCCAAGAGGAGAUCGGCGCGGUUGUCAGCUAAACCUCCUGCAAAAGUGGAAGCGAAGCCGAAGAAGGCAGCAGCGAAGGUAGGCCUCGAAACGCGCAUUGGGAUGCAGCGGGGCCUUAGGCUACACUGCUUCUUAAUGCGGAACUUUCCAUUUUGAUUAGCUAUUUGAGCUUUAUUUAUACUUGAAUAAUUACGGUAAAUUUUCUUCUGGUCGAGGCAAAAUGUAAUGGAUAUAUUCAUCCUGGUUUAUAGGACUAUAUCACACUAAUGCUGCUGCAGAUGUCAGGAGACUUGGGACGACA
rnacentral:sRNA from 1 species